rnacentral:tRNA from 1 species
GGGCUAGUAGCUCAGCCUGGUUAGAGCGCUCGGCUGAUAACCGGGAAGUCGGCGGUUCAAAUCCGCCCUGGCCCA